rnacentral:tRNA from 1 species
AAGGUCUUGGCUUAAUUAAAGUGUUUGAGUUGCAUUCAAUUGAUAUAGGAUAAAACCCUAUAGGCCUUA